ensembl:lncRNA
GCAAGUCAAGGCCCGGCCAGGCAAGGCAACGCUAGUCAAGGCAAGGCCAGUCAAGUCAAGGCAAGGCAAGGCUAGGCAAGGCAAGGCAAGGCAAGUCCAGGCCAGGGCAGGCCAGGCCAGGCAGGGCUAGGCAAAGCAAUGCUAGGCAAGGCAAGGCAAGUCCAGGCAAGGCAGGGCCAGGCAGUUCACAUGCAGGCAAGGCCAGGCAAGGCCAGGCAAGAAAAGGCAAGUCCAGGCGAGGCAGGGCAAGGCAAGGCAAGUCCAGGCAAGGCAGGGCAAGUCCAGGCAAGGCAAGGCAAGUCCAGGCCAGGCAGGACCUAGCAAAGCCAAGCAAGGCAUAGCAAGUCCAGGUAAGGCCAGGCAAGGCCAGGAAAGAAAAGGCUAGUCCA